CUGAACUUUAAUUUAACCAUAGAGAAGACAGUGGGGGGAGGGGGAAAAAAGAUCGGAGAAGGAGGAGGAGGCGGCCGAGAGAUCGAGGAAAGGAAGUCCUGGCGGCUCGGGGGAACUUGGAGAUCUCUCCAAGGGGCUGAAAGCUGGAAGUUGUAUGAAGAUGUUCCUUUCCCACAUCCCAGCUACUCCGCCCCAGUCGAAGAGACUAAUUCCGGCCCUCUUAUAAAAAUAAGAAAGAAAAGGUAAAGAAAAAGAAAAUCUAAUUAUGUGGCAUGUUUCAGCCAGGUGUUCCUGGUUCCAAUGACUCAGACCCUAUUGGAGCCCCGGGGAUCUGGAUAAUUGGGCAUGCAUAGACAGUGAUGAAGGAUGCCAUUUGACUGAGGGUCCUAUGUUUGACCUGACAACUCUACUCUUUUUGUUUGUUUGUUUGUUUUUGUUUUUUGUUUGUUUAUUUUAUUGAUCAUUCUUGGGUGUUUCUCGCAGAGGGGGAUUUGGCAGGGUCAUAGGAC
rnacentral:lncRNA from 1 species